rnacentral:sRNA from 1 species
UUUUAAACGGGAUGGAAGCGAUAUCCUUUUUUGUUCUUCCGUCGAUAAGCCAAGGAUGACAACAACAAAAAAGAUUUAGCGUACAGCCCGACUGUGC